AUGCACCAGAUAAUCAAUACAUAACAGGUUUCUACUUACUGGUUAUUGGCAUUUUAAGGAACUUUAAAAAGAGUAAAUCUGUUUAAUAUAUUCUUUUUUGUUUUCUUCAUUAGAUCCCCUCAGCAGAGUGUGUUUAAGACCAAGAAAUGUAACUGAUUCAUUGAGCACCUACAUUAAUGCUAAUUAUAUUAGGGGCUACAGUGGCAAGGAGAAAGCCUUCAUUGCCACGCAGGGCCCCAUGAUAAACACCGUGGAUGAUUUCUGGCAGAUGGUUUGGCAGGAAGACAGCCCUGUGAUUGUUAUGAUCACAAAACUCAAAGAAAAAAAUGAGAAAUGUGUGCUAUACUGGCCAGAAAAGAGAGGGAUAUAUGGGAAAGUUGAGGUUCUGGUUAUCAGUGUAAAUGAAUGUGAUAACUACACCAUUCGAAACCUUGUCUUAAAGCAAGGAAGCCACACCCAACAUGUGAAGCAUUACUGGUAUACCUCAUGGCCUGAUCACAAGACUCCAGACAGUGCCCAGCCCCUCCUACAGCUCAUGCUGGAUGUAGAAGAAGACAGACUUGCUUCCCAGGGCCGAGGGCCUGUGGUUGUCCACUGCAGUGCAGGAAUAGGUAGAACAGGGUGUUUUAUUGCUACAUCCAUUGGCUGUCAACAGUUGAAAGAAGAAGGAGUUGUGGAUGCACUAAGCAUUGUCUGCCAGCUUCGUAUGGAUAGAGGUGGAAUGGUGCAAACCAGUGAGCAGUAUGAAUUUGUGCACCAUGCUCUGUGCCUGUAUGAGAGCAGACUUUCAGCAGAGACUGUCCAGUGAGUCAUUGAAGACUUGUCAGACCAUCAAUCUCUUGGGGUGAUUAAUCAAAUUACC
rnacentral:sRNA from 1 species